rnacentral:rRNA from 1 species
AGCAGCCGCGGUAAUUCCAGCUCCAAUAGCGUAUAUUAAAGUUGCUGCAGUUAAAAAGCUCGUAGUUGAAUUUCGGGACUAAUAUGUCGGUCGUGUCUCGGUACGUACUGGCUUAUUGGUUUCUCCUUUCUGAAGAACCAUGAUGUCAUUUAUUUGGUGUCGUGGGGAAUCAGGACUGUUACUUUGAAAAAAUUAGAGUGUUUAAAGCAGGCUCACGCUUGAAUACAUUAGCAUGGAAUAAUGAAAUAGGACGUUUGAUUCUAUUUUGUUGGUUUCUAGGAUCGACGUAAUGAUUAAUAGGGAUAGUUGGGGGCAUUAGUAUUCAAUUGUCAGAGGUGAAAUUCUUGGAUUUAUUGAAGACUAACUACUGCGAAAGCAUUUGCCAAGGAUGUUUUCAUUAAUCAAGAACGAAAGUUAGGGGAUCGAAGACGAUCAGAUACCGUCGUAGUCUUAACCAUAAACUAUGCCGACUAGGGAUCGGAUGAUGUUAAUUUUUAAUGACUCAUUCGGCGCCUUACGG